AACGAACGCUGGCGGCAGGCUUAACACAUGCAAGUCGAGCGCCCCGCAAGGGGAGCGGCAGACGGGUGAGUAACGCGUGGGAAUCUACCCAUCUCUACGGAAUAACGCAUGGAAACGUGUGCUAAUACCGUAUACGUCCUUCGGGAGAAAGAUUUAUCGGAAAUGGAGGAGCCCGCGUUGGAUUAGCUAGUUGGUGGGGUAAAGGCCUACCAAGGCGACGAUCCAUAGCUGGUCUGAGAGGAUGAUCAGCCACACUGGGACUGAGACACGGCCCAGACUCCUACGGGAGGCAGCAGUGGGGAAUAUUGGACAAUGGGCGCAAGCCUGAUCCAGCCAUGCCGCGUGAGUGAUGAAGGCCCUAGGGUUGUAAAGCUCUUUCACCGGUGAAGAUAAUGACGGUAACCGGAGAAGAAGCCCCGGCUAACUUCGUGCCAGCCGCCGCAGUAACAC
rnacentral:rRNA from 1 species